GCCCUAACCAGGGCGCAGCCUCCCGGAGACAGGGUGUCAGUGGCAUGUGCUAUUUCGAACGGCGAGUCCCCUGCCAAGCGCUGAGGGGUAGCGUCGCUGGCAAGGAACCUAGCGCGACCCAUGAGUUCGGGGCCCCCCGAAGGGCUCGAGCCGAGGCUGCGGGAGGCUGGGCCGUGGGUCCGGGCUCGGGGGCUCGGGCUUGGCGCUGGCCUGGUCCCCACGCCCGGGAGCCGCUCCACCUCCGCCGGACCUCGGAACCUCGCUGCAACCCUCUUCUCCCCGGAAACGUGCGCCUCCCGGGUUGCCUGGAAACGACGCCCCCGGUUGCAUAGCAACGAGGAUCCGGGUCCCCGGUUUGUUUCGCCCGCUGGGCGCGCGGACCCCUCCCCACUCGGACUAUCCAGGCCUCCGCGGCUCUGCCUGGUGCCGCCUGCAGCGGCUGCUGUCUCCCCUUCCCGUGCGCUGCCCCGCAUUCCGACCUCGGCCCGCACUCACCUUUCUCAGGCCACUGCUAUCCUUCACGUGCGACUUCGCUGAAACGCGCCACCAAACCCGCGCCUCAACUCGGGGCGUUGGUUUACCUUCUCCGCAUGCGCAAGGCGGGAUGAGCUCGGAAACUAGCCGGCCUUCCUCACAGUCGAAGCCUGUGCCGGGAGCGCAUGCGCCUCGCUUUAUCUAUUGCGUUUCUUUUUCCCCCCCACAAGCAUUCCCACCGAGAGAAGAAUGGGAUCGGAAGUUCCAGCAGGGAACGGAAGUCUCUGGCUGGAAAGGGGAAAUAAUUGAAUGUUGCCUUUUCCUAAGCCACCCAUGGCUCUGCCCUGCCUCAUCCUGUGCCUAGAAAGACCCCAGACUCAUCUGGCAGAGAGGAGAAGCAGCUGGAUGAGGGGACGACCAUGGCUGGAUGUCAGAGAGAAGCAGCUUGUCUUCAGAGGGACAGCUUGAGGCGUAACUUCUGAGACGAACCUAGCUGGAGAUAGCUGGACUUCAGGGGAAGACUACAUACCCGCCUGUCCCACCCACUCUUUUCAGCUCCCCUUCCCUCUGAAAUCCACUUUGAUCAGCAAUAAAAUCCUAGGCAUUUGUCCUUUAA